UGUGGGAGCGAGCCUGCUCGCGAAGGCGUCAUGUCAGUCGAUACAGAUUUACCUGACAGAUCGUAUUCGCGAGCAGGCUCGCUCCCACA
rnacentral:misc_RNA from 1 species